AUUCGGACCUCCAAUCAAGCAAGGCUACCCGCUGAACUUAAGCAUAUGGAUCCC
rnacentral:rRNA from 1 species